UAGACGCUGCGGACUUAAAAUCCGUUGGCUUUAUUGACCGUGAGGGUUCAAGUCCCUCUACCCCCA
rnacentral:tRNA from 1 species